GCCAUUUCUCUGCCUGUGAGUCAGCAUUUAAUCUUAAAGCUUUUGCUAAUCAGUAUGAGUAGCAAAGAAGUCCCAAAAAAUUUUAUGUAACCCCUUCAUGAUAUUCACAAGCAUAAAAUUUCUGGUUUUGUGUGUGCUAGUGCAUUUUUUUUAAUAUCAACAUUUUACUGUUUGCCGAACUAAUUAUUUAUUUCUUUAUCAAACAUGAAAUGGCCUGAGGUCAUUCGUCAGGGGGAAGUUUGACAGGCAUUCAGAAUGCAGUUUCACUUCCCGUUACUUGUUCAGCAUGAAGACACUUGUUGUUUCCUCCCUUUGCCACCUGCAUCAUGAUGCUCUAUUUAUAAACCCUAUUGCAAUCUCAUGCCCUUUAAGUUUUUUAUUUGAAUUACAUGAAUUGUACUGGUCAUCUUCAUAUGACAAACCAUCAAAUAGACACCUUGGACUUUUUAUAUUCAUGACAUUAUUAAAUUAAGCUAUGAGAAUGCAUGAGAAGUUUUCAACAGCCAAGAGGAAGUCCCUGACUGCAUGAGCCAUUAACAGGAACAGGAACAGAUGAGAACGAAAAGAGAAAGAAGAAGCGCAGGGGACGUCCCUGAACCAGUCCAAUUUAAAAUCUGCUACAAAAAUCAAACAAAAUACAAUGGUUCAAAGCAACGCCACUUCCACCUCUGCAAAGGAUAUUUUAUCUAAACCACCUGAAAAAAACACAAUGGUUCAAAGCAACGCCACUUCAACCUCUGCAAAGGAUAUUUUAUCUAAACCUGAAAAAAACACAAACAACUUCACUUCCAUCGGUCCAGUGACUACUUUCAAAAAUGAAAGUGUUUCUCCAUCACAGAGAAUGAAUGAGACCUCUUGUGAAUGGUUUACAUGGGACACGAAAUCCAUAUUCCCAUUUGUAGUUGGCGCUGCCUUCUCAGCAAUUGUCAUCGGCAUUGUACUCUGUAUCUGCCUCUGCUGCAAAAGAAAAGCAAAACGCAAAGAGCUCAAAGCCGGCAUGUACUUUACGAGUGUGUCCAGUGAUGAUUCGAAGGUUGAAGCAGGAUAUGACAAGGUGCCUCUUCAAGGCAUUGUGACCUUCCCAGGAGGAGCUGAAGGAGUGACUAAUGGGGAGAAGACGACCAGCCCAGAGAAAGACGUGGACUACGCUACGAUCAAUUACUCCAUGCUGCAGAAGAGGGACGACACCAGCGUCCUGGGCCAGAAGAAGGACUUGGACACGGAGUAUGCAGAGAUAAAGAAGGAAAAGAAGCCUGAUGAUCAGGCCAGGAAAAAAGAUGAUGAGGACGGGAAGGAGAAGACGGAGGAAGGGAAGAAAGAUCAGGAACCAGUUGCUGAAGAAGGGGGCAGAGCUCAGCAUGAAGAAAAGUCCUCGGUGCCUUUGGUGAAUUAGGCUCUAAAAAGAGAGGGUGUGCAAGCACCAGUAGAAUGGUCAGGACAGAGUUCCACUAAAUGCUGAGAGAUGCGGGCUUAAAUGGUUUGGCAACUUAUCUUAAAACAGACACCACAUCCCGGAAAUUAGAGAAAUAAUGUCAUGUCACAAUGUCAUGCCAUGAACUAAAGCUGUUGCGAUGCCCUUGCAAACACACUCUUCCUGUUUUGUGCAACUCUGUAAUGUUCUCAUAGGUACAGUAACCAUUUUUAAAAAUCAGAUGAUUGGUGUAGGAUUUAGAAGCCCGAAAUAUUUUUUUGCUUGCAGUGUACACUUAUGCAACUUUAGUAAAAACAUGUUCUGCACCUUGUACUUGUCCAGUUUCUGAAAUAAAUGUACCAUUAUGGGCUGUAUCCAAUCUUCUGCCAUGCAUAACUGAGGGUCAAAGGUCAGCAUCAGUGUUGUCCAGAUUUCCAUCAUUUACAUGGUUGUCCAUGGUAGCAAGAACGCAUCUAGCUGGGGCACACUAUGAAUGCAUCCCCAGUUCUUUCAGAACUUGCAGACUUGCAGUUUUCCACCCUAAUGUCACAGAUUACACCAGAAUGCUUCUUGUUUCACUGUGUUCAGUACAGUGCACAUGCUACACAAGUUUUUAAAAGCAUGGGGAUACAUCAAAAUACUGAGUUGGGGUGAUGCAUGCCUCUUUUUACCAUAUGCAUUUAAAUAUGUAUACAGGUCAACCCUUCCACUCUUCACAUUAUAUGCUCAGCAAAAAGCCACGUGAUUACUACAUACCAGAAUGUAGUAAUCAUUACAGUAAAUAUUAUAAAACCAUCCCCAGACAGCACUGUCAAUUCAUAUGCUGGGCGUAGAUUUAACAGUCCCUAGCUGUUCCAGCAGUACUGAUUCUGUUAUUUUAACCAUCCACAUGCUGACACCCAUAAAGUGUCAUAUCUAUGUUUUUUCCAUUUUUGCAUCCAUUUGAUUAGCCAAAUAUUUCAUAAACAAAUUAAAUAUAAGUGAUUGUUUUUGUCGUUGUGACACACAGCAAGCACAAUUCUUUUUUUUUUAGUUUAACGGUAAAUAAUGGGUAUAUAAUAUUCCUACUCAAAAAAUUUAGCACAAAUUUAAGACAUCCUAAAUCUGAAUGAUUUUUUUUAUUUUUUAU
ensembl:lncRNA